CGUUGGGUUAUUUACUGUACCCAAUAUCUGGGUUAAACAUGUUGGGUCGCUUUGUUGGGUUAUUCCUGUGUUUAUUGGGUUAUUUCAACAACAACGCAACCAGUUGGGUUAAAAUUUAAAUUCCAACGGUCGAUUGGUGCAGCUGCGACAGAUGAUACAGUGGUAAAUUAAUAUGUGUGCGUAAUGUUUUUCGUUACAAAGUGUCUUCAUGCCCUGACACAAUAAUAUUUCUGUUUUUCCUACGAGUGUGUUUACAUCUCCCCUGUUGACUGAAACUUUAAUCCGUUUUUUUCUGCACUAUUGACUAACGACACGAGCGCUUGUAGCAGAUCGAUUUCAAACGUAUAAAAAACGGUUUCCUUACUUUUUCUGUUCUUCUCGACAAUUUUGGGGGAUUUUGUUUUACAUACAUUUCAGAUAUUAGGCAGAAUUAAGCGCUCACCUUGAAGACCAGCGGAGCCUCUUUCGUGGUGUCGCGUCCACUCUGAGUGAAGAGGGCGCUGCGAGCUACACUGAUUACACGCGCCGCUUCUUCAGCCACGAAGAACUGAACAUGGAAGAGAGUGGGGCAUUGUUAUCAUCAAUUAUCAAAAGAUACCGUUAUCGGUUUCAAGAUUACUCUGGACUAAGGUAUAUUAUACCCACAUGUCAGGGAUAGAUAGACUUUGAGCAAUAAAGGGCAUGGAGAGAUGAAGAGAGCCUUGGUUGGAUCUUCCGGAUAUUUCUUCUGUUGGUCUUGGAGAUUGCAUUAAAGUUGCAGUAAAACCCUGCCAGAUAUCCUCCUUCAUUGCCAUACAAAGUGGGUUGGAACAAAUUUCAUUCUGUAUUUGGAGGAGGAGGAGCAACAAAGGCAAUUCCCUCAUAAUCAAGCCUUCAUUAUUGUGGGAGAAAUGGCACUGAAGCAAGGCCGUCUUUUUUACAAGCAGUUGAUACAUGCUUUAAAUUAUUUUACAUUUUGAACAUUGAGUAUCCCAAACCUGUUGCAGCUGUAAUUGCAUUGUCUGUACUAGCUUUGUUUUGUUUGUUUGUGAAUUUAUAUUUAUCUUGUAAACUGAAACAAUUGCAUAUAACCUAAUGUGAUAAGGAAAUAAUUA